GUGCUUACUUCGGCAGCACAUGUACUAAAAUUGGAACAAUACAGAGAAGAUUAGCUUGGUCCCUGUGCAAGGAUGACACACAAAUAUAUUUCU
rnacentral:snRNA from 1 species